GUGCCUGGAGUCACCGCAGAGACACAUCUGCUGUGUGCGGGCUAGAGAGAUAACAAACAAAGGCUGGCACUCAAAUUUACACUGCAUUUGUUGAGCCAAUUUGCCAACAUGUAGCACUUUUUCAGUCUUUACAAGGCUUUACAAAUAUCACCCAGUUGGGUCUCACUGGGAACAAGAUUCAUGUCGACUGCUUUAAAAUCCUUUUUCUGUGGUGUUAGGCUUUGUGCCUAUUAAGAUUAAACAAUACUUUGAUCACCAUAUCCGGGAGACUGUGGCCAGUAGAGAAGGAUCAUCUCAACCAUGGAUUUACAUAUGGGUCCUGAGAUGAUUCAGCAGUCCAAUCCUGGAACCACAGAUCCGCCCACAGUAUGUACAGACAUUUCCUGGAGGGUGAGCUGCCUGCUGGGACAUUUCCUUUGACCACCACAGGAUCUCUGACCAUGGGUGAGCUGAGAGUAGAAGACUUGUUUUGGGAGGUGAGAGUCUGGCCUCCGCACACAAUGUCCAACCCAGCGGAAUUGGUGCAUGUGGGUCAUUUCUUCAAUGCUGGUCACAUUGGCUUCAGUGAGGAUGCUGGCGUUAGUACAACGAUCUUCCCAUGUGAUGCGAAGGAUCUUACGGAGGCAUCGUUGGUGGUACCUCUCCAGACUCUUGAGGUGCUGUCAAUAAGUCACCCAGGUUUCACAUCCAUGCACUUAUAUGCAGGUGACCAAAUGCAGGCCUGGCAUAAGAUGGUGUAGCUUCAUUUACCCUAAAUGGAGCUGCGUUGUCAGCACUGAAUUGGACUGUAUGUGCAAUGUCUGUGCAGACACCUGACUUUCGUGCAUUUAAAUUUUCUUUAAUAUGCUAUAUUUGUACUGAAUUUCCAUGUGUGUUUAAUUAAAAAUAAGCUAUAGUCAAGGG